AACUUCCGGGUCAAAGGUGCCUGAGCCGGCGGGUCCCCGGUGUCCGCCGCCGCUGUCGUCCCCCGCGCCCGCCACUUCCGGGGCCGCAGUCCCGGGCAUGGAGCCGCGACCGUGAGGCGCCGCUGGCCCCGGGACGACCUGCCCAGCCCGGCCGCCGCCCCACGUCCCGGUCUGUGUCCCACGCCUGCAGCUGGAAUGGAGGCUCUCUGGACCCUUUAGAAGCUGCCCCUGGAAGGAGCUUUCUGAAGGCUUUGAGGAGAGAAGGGGAGAGUGCUGAUUUCGGCAGGAUUUGGUGGAGGGGUGCCUGUAUCCCCCUAUACUGCCUGACCUGGCACCCCUGCCCUCCUGAGGUCAGCUGAGCGGUUAAUGCGGAAGGUUAAGAAGCUGCGCCUGGACAAGGAGAACACCGGAAGUUGGAGAAGCUUCUCGCUGAAUUCCGAGGGAGCUGAGAGGAUGGCCACCACCGGGACCCCAACAGCCGACCGAGGUGAUGCAGCCGCCACGGAUGACCCGGCCGCCCGCUUCCAGGUGCAGAAGCACUCUUGGGACGGGCUCCGGAGCAUCAUCCACGGCAGCCGCAAGUACUCGGGCCUCAUUGUUAACAAGGCGCCCCACGACUUCCAGUUUGUGCAGAAGACGGAUGAGUCUGGGCCCCACUCCCACCGCCUCUACUAUCUGGGGAUGCCAUAUGGCAGCCGAGAGAACUCCCUCCUCUACUCUGAGAUUCCCAAGAAGGUCCGGAAAGAGGCUCUGCUGCUCCUGUCCUGGAAGCAGAUGCUGGAUCAUUUCCAGGCCACACCCCACCACGGGGUCUACUCUCGGGAGGAGGAGCUGCUGAGGGAGCGGAAGCGCCUGGGAGUCUUCGGCAUCACCUCCUACGACUUCCACAGCGAGAGCGGCCUCUUCCUCUUCCAGGCCAGCAACAGCCUCUUCCACUGCCGAGAUGGCGGCAAGAACGGCUUCAUGGUGUCCCCUAUGAAACCGCUGGAAAUCAAGACCCAAUGCUCAGGGCCCCGGAUGGACCCCAAAAUCUGCCCUGCCGACCCUGCCUUCUUCUCCUUCAUCAACAACAGCGACCUGUGGGUGGCCAACAUUGAGACAGGCGAGGAGCGGCGGCUGACCUUCUGCCACCAAGGUUUAUCCAACGUCCUGGACGACCCCAAGUCUGCGGGCGUGGCCACCUUCGUCAUACAGGAAGAGUUUGACCGCUUCACUGGGUACUGGUGGUGCCCCACAGCCUCCUGGGAAGGUUCAGAGGGCCUCAAGACGCUGCGAAUCCUAUACGAGGAAGUCGAUGAGUCCGAGGUGGAGGUCAUUCACGUCCCUUCUCCUGCACUAGAAGAAAGGAAGACGGAUUCGUAUCGGUACCCCAGGACAGGCAGCAAGAAUCCCAAGAUCGCCUUGAAACUGGCCGAGUUCCAGACCGACAGCCAGGGCAAGAUUGUCUCGACCCAGGAGAAGGAGCUGGUGCAACCCUUCAGCUCGCUGUUCCCGAAGGUGGAGUACAUCGCCAGGGCCGGGUGGACCCGGGAUGGCAAAUAUGCCUGGGCCAUGUUCCUGGACCGUCCCCAGCAGUGGCUCCAGCUCGUCCUCCUCCCCCCGGCCCUGUUCAUCCCAAGCACAGAGAAUGAGGAGCAGCGGCUAGCCUCUGCCAGAGCCGUCCCCAGGAACAUCCAGCCGUAUGUGGUGUACGAGGAGGUCACCAACGUCUGGAUCAAUGUUCAUGACAUCUUCUAUCCCUUCCCCCAAUCAGAGGGAGAGGACGAGCUCUGCUUUCUCCGCGCCAAUGAGUGCAAGACUGGCUUCUGCCAUUUGUACAAAGUCACCGCCGUUUUAAAAUCCCAGGGCUACGACUGGAGUGAGCCCUUCAGCCCCAGGGAAGAUGAAUUUAAGUGCCCUAUUAAGGAAGAGAUUGCUCUGACCAGCGGUGAAUGGGAGGUUUUGGCGAGGCACGGCUCCAAGAUCUGGGUCAACGAGGAGACCAAGCUGGUGUACUUCCAGGGCACCAAGGACACGCCGCUGGAGCACCACCUCUACGUGGUCAGCUAUGAGGCGGCCGGGGAGAUCGUGCGCCUCACCACGCCCGGCUUCUCCCACAGCUGCUCCAUGAGCCAGAACUUCGACAUGUUCGUCAGCCACUACAGCAGUGUGAGCACGCCACCCUGCGUGCACGUCUACAAGCUGAGCGGCCCCGACGACGACCCCCUGCACAAGCAGCCCCGCUUCUGGGCCAGCAUGAUGGAAGCAGCCAGCUGCCCCCCGGAUUACGUGCCUCCAGAGAUCUUCCACUUCCACACGCGCUCAGACGUGCGGCUCUAUGGCAUGAUCUACAAGCCCCACGCCUUGCAGCCAGGGAAGAAGCACCCCACCGUCCUCUUUGUAUAUGGAGGCCCCCAGGUGCAGCUGGUGAAUAACUCCUUCAAAGGCAUCAAGUACUUGCGGCUCAACACGCUGGCCUCCCUGGGCUACGCCGUGGUCGUGAUUGACGGCAGGGGCUCCUGCCAGCGGGGGCUUCGGUUCGAAGGGGCCCUGAAAAACCAAAUGGGCCAGGUGGAGAUCGAGGACCAGGUGGAGGGCCUGCAGUUCGUGGCGGAGAAGUAUGGCUUCAUCGACCUGAGCCGAGUUGCCAUCCAUGGCUGGUCCUACGGGGGCUUCCUCUCGCUCAUGGGGCUAAUCCACAAGCCCCAGGUGUUCAAGCAGCCCCACGGGGCCGAGCCCCCCUCCUCAUUGCCCGCCACCGCCGACCGCAGGAUGGCAUCCGGCUGCACAAAACCCCGCCAGCAGCUCUCUGUGGGAGGCUGAGCCCGGGACCCCGGCCUCGGAUGGGCAGAGGUGGCCAUCGCGGGCGCCCCAGUCACUGUCUGGAUGGCCUACGACACAGGGUACACUGAGCGCUACAUGGACGUCCCCGAGAACAACCAGCAUGGCUAUGAGGCGGGUUCCGUGGCCCUGCACGUGGAGAAGCUGCCUAACGAGCCCAACCGCCUGCUCAUCCUCCAUGGCUUCCUGGAUGAAAACGUGCACUUUUUCCAUACAAACUUCCUCGUCUCCCAACUGAUCCGAGCAGGGAAACCUUACCAGCUCCAGAUCUACCCCAACGAGAGACACAGUAUUCGCUGCCCCGAGUCGGGCGAGCACUAUGAAGUCACGUUGCUGCACUUUCUACAGGAAUACCUCUGAGCCUGCCCGCCGGGAGCCGCCACAUCACAGCACAAGUGGCUGCAGCCUCCGCGGGGACCAGGCAGAAGGGACUGAGUGGCCCGCGGGCCCCAAUGAGGCACCUUGUCCCGCCCCGCGCUGGCCAGCUCCAAGGAGCCGCUGCCUUCACCGCCCCGACGCCUUUUAUCCUUUUUAAAAUGCUCCUGGGUUUUAUGUCCGCUGCUUCUUGGUUGCCAAGAUAGAGAGAUGGUGGUCUCAGGCCAGCCCCUCCUCUCCCCAACUUCUGGGAGGAGGAGGUCACACACUGAUGGGCACUGGAGAGGCCAGAAGAGACUCAGAGGAGCGGGCUGCCCUCCGCCCGGGGCUCCCUGUGACCUCUCGGUCCCCUGGCCCGGCCAGCCACCGUCCCCAGCACCCAAGCAUGCAAUUGCCUGUCCCCCCCGCCAGCCUUCCCCACUUCAUGUUUGUGUUUUGUUUGAGGGGAUAUUUUUCAUAAUUAUUUAAAAGACAGGCCGGGCGCGGUGGCUCACGUCUGUAAUCCCAGCACUUUGGGAGGCUGAGGCGGGCGGAUCACCUGAGGUCGGGAGUUCAAGACCAGCCUGACCAACAUGGGGAAACCCUGUCUCUACUAAAAAUACAAAAAAUUAGCCGGGCGUGGUGGCUCACGCCUGUAAUCCCAGCUACUCGGGAGGCUGAGGCAGGAGAAUCGCUGGAACCUAGAAGGCUGAGGUUGCGGUGAGCCGAGAUUGCGUCAUUGCACUCCAGCCUGGGCAACAAAAGCGAAACUCCAUCUCACAAUAAAUAAAAAACAAAAGACAGAAAGCAAGGGGUGCCUAAAUCGAGACUCGGGGUCCACACCGGGCAGCGGGGUUGCAACCCAGCACCUGGUAGGCUCCAUUUCUUCCCAAGCCGGAGCAGAGGGUCAUGCGGGCCCCACAUGAGGAGCAGCCAGGGCCCACAGGGGGCACCACCUGUGAACAGCCCUCCUGUCCCCAAGCUUUCAGGCAGGCACUGAAACGCACCGAACUUCUACGCUCUGCUGGUCAGUGGCGGCUGUCCCCUCCCCAGCCCAGCCGCCUGGCCACAUGUGUCUGCCUGGCCCGUACACACCGGGGGUUCCGGGGUUGGGAGCUGAACCAUCCCCACCUCAGGGUUAUAUUUCCUCCUCCCUUUCCCUCCCCGCCAAGAGCUCUGCCGGGGCGGGCAAAAAAAAAGUAAAAAGAAAAGAAAAAAAAAAAAACAAAA